AAGAACCUUACCAAGUCUUGACAUCCCUCUGACCGACUCUUAACCGAGUCUYUCUUUCGGGACAGAGGAGACAGGUGGUGCAUGGUUGUCGUCAGCUCGUGUCGUGAGAUGUUGGGUUAAGUCCCCGCAACGAGCGCAACCCCUAUUCCCAGUAGCCAGCAGUUCGGCUGGGCACUCUGAGGAGACUGCCAGGGAUAACCUGGAGGAAGGCGGGGAUGACGUCAAAUCAUCAUGCCCCUUAUGAUUUGGGCUACACACGUGCUACAAUGGCGUAAACAAAGGGAAGCGAACCUGCGAGGGUAAGCAAAUCCCAAAAAUAACGUCCCAGUUCGGACUGCAGUCUGCAACUCGACUGCACGAAGCUGGAAUCGCUAGUAAUCGCGGAUCACAAUGCCGCGGUGAAUACGUUCCCGGGUCUUGUACACACCGCCCGUCACACCAUGGGAGUCAGUAACGCCCGAAGUCAGUGACCUAACCGCAAGGGAGGAGCUGCCGAAGGCGGGACCGAUGACUGGGGUGAAGUCGUAACAAGGUACCGUAACCUCACAAUCGAA
rnacentral:rRNA from 1 species